GUUUAAAUAGUUUAUAAAAAUAUUGAUUUGUGGUGUCAAAGAUAUGGAUUUACUUCAUUUUAGACC
rnacentral:tRNA from 1 species